UGCCAGCAGCCGCGGUAAUACGUAGGGGGCAAGCGUUGUCCGGAAUCACUGGGCGUAAAGGGCGCGUAGGCGGCCGAACAAGUUGUAUGUGAAAUCCCAGGGCUCAACCCUGGACGUGCAUACAAAACUGUUUGGCUUGAGUAUGGUGGAGGUAAGUGGAAUUCCUAGUGUAGCGGUGGAAUGCGUAGAUAUUAGGAGGAACACCAGUGGCGAAGGCGACUUACUGGGCCAUAACUGACGCUGAGGCGCGAAAGUGUGGGGAGCAAACAGGAUUAGAUA
rnacentral:rRNA from 1 species